rnacentral:rRNA from 1 species
CACACGGUGGAUGCCUUGGCGCUAGGAGCCGAAGAAGGACGCAGCGAACUGCGAUAAGCCUCGGGGAGCGGUAAGCACGCUUUGAUCCGGGGAUCUCCGAAUGGGGAAACCCACCAUCUGUAAUGGGAUGGUAUCCGUAUCUGAAUACAUAGGAUACGAGAAGGCAGACCCGGUGAACUGAAACAUCUAAGUAGCCGGAGGAAGAGAAAACAAUAGUGAUUCCGUCAGUAGUGGCGAGCGAACGCGGAAGAGCCUAAACCGUCGGGUUUACCCGGCGGGGUUGUGGGGCGUCUCACAUGGAGUUACAAAAGACGCGCGUAGGUGAACAGCUUGGGAAAGCUGACCAUAGAGCGUGAUAGUCGCGUAACCUAAACGCGCGUCUCUCCGAGACCAACCCCGAGUAGCGCGGGACACGUGAAAUCCCGUGUGAAUCUGGCAGGACCAUCUGCUAAGGCUAAAUACUACCUAGCGACCGAUAGUGAACCAGUACCGUGAGGGAAAGGUGAAAAGUACCCCGGGAGGGGAGUGAAAUAGUACCUGAAACCGUGUGCUUACAAAUAGUCGGAGCCCGUUAAAAGGGUGACGGCGUGCCUUUUGUAGAAUGAACCGGCGAGUUACGGUAGCGUGCGAGGUUAAGUUGAAGAGACGGAGCCGCAGCGAAAGCGAGUCUGAAUAGGGCGAUAGUACGCUGCCGUAGACCCGAAACCGUGUGAUCUAGCCAUGUCCAGGGUGAAGGUAGGGUAACACCUACUGGAGGCCCGAACCCACGCACGUUGAAAAGUGCGGGGAUGAGGUGUGGCUAGCGGUGAAAUUCCAAUCGAACUCGGAGAUAGCUGGUUCUCCCCGAAAUAGCUUUAGGGCUAGCCUCGGAAUUUAGAGUCUUGGAGGUAGAGCACUGAUUGGACUAGGGGCCCUCAUCGGGUUACCGAAUUCAGUCAAACUCCGAAUGCCAAUGACUUAUGUCCGGGAGUCAGACGGUGAGUGCUAAGAUCCAUCGUCAAAAGGGAAACAGCCCAGACCAUCAGCUAAGGUCCCCAAGUAUACGUUAAGUGGGAAACGAUGUGGAGUUGCCCAGACAACCAGGAUGUUGGCUUAGAAGCAGCCACCAUUUAAAGAGUGCGUAAUAGCUCACUGGUCGAGUGACUCUGCGCGGAAAAUGUAACGGGGCUAAACGUAUCACCGAAGCUAUGGCAGGUGAGAAACCUUACGGUUUCCACUUGGGUAGGGGAGCGUUCCAAGCAGCAGUGAAGCCGUACUGGAAAGAGCGGUGGAGCGCUUGGAAGUGAGAAUGCCGGUGUAAGUAGCGAAAAGACAAGUGAGAAUCUUGUCCACCGAAAGCCUAAGGUUUCCUGGGGAAGGCUCGUCCUCCCAGGGUUAGUCGGGACCUAAGCUGAGGCCGAAAGGCGUAGGCGAUGGACAACAGGUUGAUAUUCCUGUACCACCUCUGUUCCGCUUGAGCAAUGGCGUGACGCAGGAGGAUAGGGUGAGCGGCCUACUGGAUGGCCGUCCAAGCAGUAAGUGUGAUGUGUAGGCAAAUCCGCACAUCGUGAAGCAUGAGCUGUGAUGGCGAGGGAAAUGUAAGUACCGAAGUCCCUGAUUUCACACUGCCAAGAAAAGCGUCUAGCGAGGAACAAGGUGCCCGUACCGCAAACCGACACAGGUAGGCGAGG